GUGCAUUAGGUCGUCAUCGCCGAGUUUCUGGUUCGGCGUCGACACCGUUUGGAGGUUUCUAGUUAUCGCCGUGUCGGUUUGCCUUUCGUUUGCGACCUUAGAUCUUACUCUCUCUUCCUCCCUCUUCAUAGAGAUGAGGUCCCUUGUGUUUUUAAUGUAGUUCGGCCUCCAUUUUUCAUUGGGGUAGGGGGUCGCGGUGGCGUAGAGGGGUCGUCGCGAAAGUUUUCUUUUUCUUGCCGGGUCUCGAACGGCCGGACCUUAGUCGGCG
rnacentral:lncRNA from 1 species